UGUGAUUUUUCAUGUGUAUAUUCCUGUCAUGUUUGUGUGCUAACCAAAACAAGAGCAAAACAACCCAAAGCCUAAUGGGUAACAAUUUCAAGGGCAAGCACGAAGAUUUCAGCUGGAUACAAACACUGCAUGAUUGAUGGUAGGCUGUGUCAUAUUUACCUGUAGUCAAUUAUGUGUUCCUUUUGCUUUGUAGUGUCUCCUGAGCAACCGCCUUUAUUCACGGUAAACAUAUUUUCUUUAAUUAUUAACAAAAUGCUCUGUGAUAUAUACAUGAUAUGUUAAUCAUUAUGUUGUCAAACCCAUUCAGCAUACGGUGAAAGACAGUGAUCACAUUUCAACUAGAUUCUUAGGAAGUAUGGAUUCACUAACUUCCAGUGAAGGUAAAUUUGCCACUACAAAUUUCAUUCUAGAAAAUGUAGAUGAAAAUAUUGAAAAUGCUCGUAGUUUUUUGAUUCCCACUUUUUAUCCAAAUGAGAUGGAAGGAUUUGAUGUAAAUAUGCUGAUGUUCUUGUUAAUAUCUUUGUUUAUAAAAUGAUUUUUAAGGCAUAAGGCGGACAUUUUACACUGUGAGCUCUAGCCCAAAUGCUUUUCCUUUAAAGUUGUCAUCAUUUAAAGAUCCCAGUGUUGAAUUCCUUUGCAUGUUAGGGAUUUGAGUAGGUGUAUUUUGACACUAAAUAUUUUCAGUGCUUCAAAAUUGAUUGCAAUACUCUCUUCUUCAUCUAGAGAAAAGCUAUACCUGCUGACAUUACAAUUGUUUUAGAACUUCAACGACUUUAUGUCAGUGUUGUUACAUUGAGAAUCUUAAUCACAUCUUCUGAUUACCGGAUUGAGUUUCUGCAUGUGUAUGUGUGUGUGUAUCUCUGAUUAAAAAUGAAUAAAAUGAUUAAUCAUUCUUUUGUAACUCUUUGGUAGAUACAGUGUUUUAAAACAAUGAUUCUGAGCUGUUUUGGCCUUAGAAUAUUUUCUUCUACUACUAUUUAUUGUCUACAGGUAACCAACAGCCUGAAUUAAUGUUUUUUACUUUUAAGUCACUGCAAUGCACAUUAAAAAUACUUUACAAGAUACUUGCACUUUCAUAGGUAAUAUGUGGAAUCUGUUUCCAAGUAUCAAGUCUUCUGUACGCUUUCACACAAUGUACAUAAUAGCUGCAACUCGGCUUUUGUAAUCAGUGGAAUAUAUUUCAGAUCUGUCCAGGUUGACACAGUUUGGUCAUCUUUGUUUUGUUUUAUGACUGCACCACAUAUUUGAUUUGUUUUAUGACUGCACCACAAUUAAUUAAAGUCUCUUCAUGCUGAUACAAAAUGAACAUAAAUAUGAUGACAUACCAACAUAGAUUUGCUUAUGUGGUUGCCUUUAUUGAUUUGUACUAUAAAGAAAUUAAAUAGAAGUAUUUCAGAUACCCAUAGUAUAGCUGUAUACACUGCCAUAGCUGUAUUGAGUACAUUCAUUACCCCUUAGAGCCAUGUUUUUCCAUCAUGUUAUGACUCUGAAAAACUCCAGUGUAUGCUUUUCAGAGAAUGACAUUGGAAAGAAGAAAUGGCCAAAGUAUCAUUUGGUACCUUGGCUUCCUUACAUAGAUGUUGAACUCCAGGAAUGAUCAAAUCACAGUUUAGGACCCCUUUGUUGGGCCCUAUAAAGGGUUUCCAGAUGUCAAAUGAUAGUCUCCAGAUGAAGAAAUGCUCUAUAAUGCCUCACCGCUGUGUUUUCCUGUAUUUUGUGCUUUUCUGAAAACUUUAAAUACACGAAUUUUUGGUAGAAAUGAAAAUCUUUCUGUUUUAUAUAUUUGUUUUUGUCCAUGGCACUCUGAUCUCUUUGAAUCUGGUAAGGAUCUAGCCUUGUCUUGUUUAUACCAGCAAGCAGUGUUGUCACUUAAUGCUCUCAUUUUUCACGUAAAUGACUGACAUUUUCCCAAGUCUUCACAAGUGAUUUCUGAAGAUGUUGCUGCAUUGAGCAGAGACUAUGUCAUUGUAAUUGCAGAAGUUUUAAAAUUAAACAUGUUUAAUAAAAUUUUAGAGUCUGUUUAUCUGGAACACAUAACACAUAAUGGUGUAAUGUGUAUUUAACCAUAAAUUAGCUUCACAAAAAGUUUGUGUACAUAAAAGUGUUUAUAUCCAAAGAAAUUCUUAUUUACUGCUCAGUAAUCUCUUGUGUAGAAGAAAAUAUGUAACAUAGUUUGCUGAGUCUUUGAUAAUAACCCUCAGUGUAAAAUAAAGCCGUAAAGAUAAAAUGAGAGUUGAUACUCGAUGAAACUGAUGUGAGUGAAUAGAAACUAUGAAACUGUGUCUAUGGGAGAGAGGAGGACAUGGGGCUGCUGUUGUGAAGAAGGAAUUUGUACAAGUUAGUCCAUUUUCUGUAACUUUUAUAUUCUAAUAAAGGAAAACCAUAUCUUCAUAUUUAU
rnacentral:lncRNA from 1 species